rnacentral:rRNA from 1 species
UACGUAGGGUGCGAGCGUUGUCCGGAAUUAUUGGGCGUAAAGAGCGUGUAGGCGGCCACUUAAGUCCUGCGUGAAAUCUUGCGGCUCAACCGCAAGCGGUCGUGGGAAACUGGGUGGCUAGAGUGCGGGAGAGGAGAGUGGAAUUCCUGGUGUAGCGGUGGAAUGCGCAGAUAUCAGGAAGAACACCCGUGGCGAAGGCGGCUCUCUGGAACGCAACUGACGCUGAGACGCGAAAGCGUGGGGAGCAAACAGG